GACGAACGCUGGCGGCGUGCUUAACACAUGCAAGUCGAACGGAAAGGCCCUGCUUUUGUGGGGUGCUCGAGUGGCGAACGGGUGAGUAACACGUGAGUAACCUGCCCUUGACUUUGGGAUAACUUCAGGAAACUGGGGCUAAUACCGGAUAGGAGCUCCUGCUGCAUGGUGGGGGUUGGAAAGUUUCGGCGGUUGGGGAUGGACUCGCGGCUUAUCAGCUUGUUGGUGGGGUAGUGGCUUACCAAGGCUUUGACGGGUAGCCGGCCUGAGUGGGUGACCGGCCACAUUGGGACUGGGAUACGGCCAAGACUCCAACGGGGGGCAGCAGUGGGGAAUAUUGCACAAUGGGCGGAAGCCUGAUGCAGCAACGCCGCGUGCGGGAUGACGGCCUUCGGGUUGUAAACCGCUUUCGCCUGUGACGAAGCGUGAGUGACGGUAAUGGGUAAAGAAGCACCGGCUAACUACGUG
rnacentral:rRNA from 1 species